AUAGCGACGUUGCUUUUUGAU
rnacentral:snRNA from 1 species